GGGGGCGGGAGCAGGUGUGUGAGCACUGCGGUGGCCCCCAGGGAGUGCAGGAGCUCUGACCCCGGCCAGGCUCC
rnacentral:miRNA from 1 species